CCCAAAGCAGGUCGUCCUCCUGAUGCAUUGUCUGGUCAGUGGUAGCCUAUCCUUACCUCACACUGCCUAUGCUAUUCCCCUCACUUCGCCUUACCACGCAGGCAUUGUAUCAUCUCAUACCAUCACAAGAGGGAUAAGAAGUGAGGAAAAAGAGGGGAAUGGAAAUCCCAUAUGAUGAGACUGUGUGUGUGUGUGUACAUGUGAUCUUCAAUGACAAUGUGCUCUGACCUUAAGAAAGGCCUCCUUUUGUUCCAAAUGUUUGCUGAUGAGUGGGAUGACAUGGUCGAUCUCUGCAGCUGGUCCCAGUUUAUCUCGUCCACCACACCAGUCCUCGUCUCUCCGGUAUUCUUGCUCUAAACUCUCCAGGACACUACAGACCUAAUGAACCACGGAGGAAAGUUUCAGUAAAUUAACAGAUCAGGAGAGUGUUUUCUGAGCACCUUCAGCCAACAGAACCCUAUGCAGUGUCAACAGCUUCCAAAUCAAUAUUUCCUGCUCCACCAACUUCCAUCAAAACACAAAUGCCUUCUCUGAAACUGGAUCAGACAACUCCCGAAAGAAAGAGCCCUACACUGACAAGGAAAACAAGUUCACCUAAUGAGGCAUGGUGGCUUAACAAAGCAGCAAAAUCCAUUGGCACCUCCCAAGGCCGCUGUCCUUCACAAAUGCCUUCGCGGGUUUCCUGCAGACCGACUCAAGCAACCCAGUAUGGGAUUGAACUACAAUCCCACAUGUGUCAUCCUCACCAUGGUGGGGAGAAGCAACUUUCUCUUGCAGAGAAAUUUUCUGUCCUCCAACUCAAGAAACAUUGAAUAGGAAUGUACUCAGAGAUCCGUCAAGCCUGGGGUAUUUGUACAUAGACAACCUACUUCCCCAUUUGACAAACUACCUAUCAUCACUCCAAUUUCCCACCCUAUACGGAAUGUAUACUCAGAGGAUAAAAAAUCAUUUCCAUUUUCAUGCCAGUCAAGAAGAACAUGAUUAGGGAGUUGACUUUACUACUAAGGUUGGAACAAAGUUAAAUACAAAAAUUAAAAAUCAGGAACAAAAGUAUCUAUUUCAUUUCACAGGCAAAUAGGAAUGAUUUUCCUAUUAUUUGUUUUGUUCAGAUGAUCCCCUCCUGCCCCUUUCGGCAGGCAGGAUCCUCCUCUCUGCCUCCUCUCUGCCUGUGUCUCUGCCUACUUGUGA